AGUAAUCGCAGCGCAGUCUGGUGCAGUGAAGGUGAUCGUAACGACUAACGUGAUAAUUAGAUUCUAGAAGGAUGCAGCUAGUGUAAUGGAAUGGAACCAUUUAUUAACACAGUGUUGAGUUGAGUCGAAUCAAAAUUUUCUAGAUGCUGUUCGAGAACGCAACGUAUACGUCAGUCAUUGCGGGGUACUUUCUUUCCUGACAUUUUUUGUCAAAAAAUGGUUUCAAUUCCAUCUGAUCAUGUGGCCUGCACGGCUGCACUGUACAUUUUCCAAAAAUUUCGUCUCUUGUAGCAUGUUGCAUGUUUUCGUCACAUGCAGAAAUACUUCAGAUGCUUCAGAUCAGUAAAACCUGGUGAAGUGUGAGCUUCUUGACUUCUUCAUUGCAGCAUGUUCAUGUUAUUGCUGUUGUGAAGAAUUCGAGUAAGUUUUUUUUUACAUGGCAUAUGUUGCUGACCGAUUGGCAUGUUGCAGCCUAUGCUGGUGAAAGAUAUUUUUGUGCAUCAGAUUAAUUUUUUUUCAACAUUUUUAAUUCAUGGCCGAGGGGGUGAGAAUCUCCCUGGUCGAGUCAGUCGGGCAGUGUCUUCCCCUGCUUGACUGGCUGCAGUUUGAAGCGGGCGGUCUGUUUAAAUAAGAAUUUAAAUCUAGAAAAACGCUUCCUUUGAGCGGCCCGGACAAUCCUUAAGGGUUGCCACUCCAUCGAGGCUUAAACGAGGAUGACGCGGAGGUGUUGCCCAUUGAGGGGUUUUGGUGAAAAGGAGUCACUGAACAAAACGCUAAACCAAAUGAAACAAAAAUAUUAAAAAAGAUAAUGCUAGAUACGACAUGAAGCUUUUGCUUUCGCAGAAAAUAAUGUGAAUUUGUUUACAGCCAACGAUCCUUAAUGGUCCAUCCUUAAUAUAUAUCCGAGCCUAGUCCUUUUUGUCUACAUUUGGUGUGAAGAGCAAAACCCGAAUUUCAACACAUUUUACAGCUUAGCAACGAAAACAAAGCGAGUGUCAAAACAUUGUUUUACUUGCGCAUACUUAAUUGUAGCAGAAACGCGUUGGUCAUGUAUGAAUGUUUUUCCCUUUUGUUCAUGCAGCAACAAACGACACGCGAUAGCUUCCGGCGGUCAUCAACUAUUCAAGAUGGUAGACAUGUCAAUGUAAAAGACAGGAUUUUCUUCUCCGACCGUGGGUGCAAGGAUUAUGUGUUUGAAACUUAGAUAAGUUUGCAGUAGAAUAUUUAAAAAAACGUUCGAAACGAAAAUUUAUUCAUUCACCGAAGAAACGAGUCAAAUGACUCAAAUGUCAAAUGUGAUAUUUUUAAAACCCAUCCCCAGCAACGUCGACCUGCAGGAAGAAAAAGGCCAGUUUCUAUGGCCUUGUCGCUCGAAGGUCACGGAGCAUCAUUACGUAAAACGUGUCGUGCAGUGGUGUAGAGGUUGGGUGAGAACGACACGUGUUGCUU